AAAGAGUUUUGGCUGGACACCAUCCUCAGGCAAAGGAGCAGAGUCCCGGAAAUGCGGGUGAUCCCGUUGCCCUCGAUUGGUCUACUCGUGCAAGUCUUGGGCCUCAGUGGAUCUCCGGUGACGUUAACUUCUGAGACCAUCAAG